rnacentral:rRNA from 1 species
GACAGAGGUGCCGAGCGUUAGGCGGAAUCACUGGGCUUAAAGCGUGUGUAGGCGGAUUCCUAAGUACCUUGUGAAAUCCCAUGGCUCAACCAUGGAACUGCUUGGUAUACUGGGUGUCUUGAGCCAGCUAGGGGCUACCGGAACAAAUGGUGGAGCGGUGAAAUGCGUAGAUAUCAUUUGGAACGCCAAUGGUGAAAACAGGUAGCUGGGGCUGUGCUGACGCUGAGACACGAAAGCCAGGGGAGCGAACAGG